UGAUAGCAGAUCCAGGUCCCGCCUCUGACUCUUUAUGAAAGCUGGCUCGACUCUGUUCAUCACUCUGCUGAUCUCACUGACAUCAUGCUGCUCACCGUCUGCGCUCUGCUCCCUGCUCUGGCAUUGGUCAGUUCACAGAAAGUUGUGACGCAAAAGCCUUCGGUUAUAACAGAAGAUAAGGGAAAAACUGUCACUCUGGACUGUAACAUCGCGAAGGAUGAAAGCAAGUAUGUCUCCUGGUAUAAACAGAUUCCACAAGAAGCUCCACAGUUUGUGUUGAGAUUUUAUCAGUCUUACACCUCUCCUGAUAAAUAUGGAGACAAUUUUUCUUCCACGCGCUUCACAUCUAAAGCCUCUUCAAAAAUCGACUAUCAGUUAAUAAUCAGUAAUGUAGAGGUGGGAGACUCGGCAGUGUAUUACUGUAACACAUGGGACGACUCUGCUAAAGAGCGGGUAUCACAGUGAUGUACACCAUGACAAAAACCUCCUCACUGCUCACACUCACUUCUGCUUUCACACAACACGAGAAACAACAAAAACCUCAACUUCAAAUCACUGGAACUGAAGUGGAAACUCACUUGAUGUUCACUGAAGACACUUUGAAUUCUUCACAGUCGCAGAUCACAGAUACGGUACGACCUUUUAUUCCACAUUUAUGAAAUUCUCAGUUCAGUUCUUUGGCUUUCAUGAGCUCAGUGUGAUCAGGUGAUCUACAGCUGAGAGCUUUUCCCCAGAUUUCCUCUGAUUUCUGUGAUUAGUGACACUGGACCUCCACUCUGACAACCUGAAAAGGCUGUUCCAAAGGAGAGGAGGACAGCUAGGGAUAAGGCUAAAAAGAAAAAAAAAUCACUGCACAAAUGGCUAAU